UUUUCAUUUUCCUUUUUAAAAAGAUUUUCAUUAAUUUGUUGAAUAAUUAUUGCUAAAAUAAAUAUUAGUGAAAUGUAAUAAAAAAAUAGUCUUAAUUUUGAUAUUGUUUUAGGAGUUUUAAAAUACCCCCAUCAAUAAUUGAAUUCCUAUUGAAAAGUUCAAUCCAAAAUUGUUACUUUUAUCUCUUUUACCUUGUAUCCAUUUUAUGUUUGUUGAUUAUUAAUUAAUAUAUCAGUCUGAUUAUUUAAAAAAAAUUAAUUUUAAUUAUAAUUUGAGAAAAAAUUAUUUAAUUACUUUGAUGAAUAUUAAUUUUAAAUUAAAUUUUACUCACGUGCAAUGCCUGUACGGUUUUACUAGUAUUUUUAAGUAUAUAUAGUGCAAUUAUAUACAUAUAUAUAUAUAUAUAUAUAUAUAUAUAUAUAUAUAUAUAUAUGAGUAAUGAUAUUCUGUUCGAAAAAAUUGGCAUACUCCUAGUCCGAAUCCUACGUGUAAUUGCCACAUAAUUACCUAAAUCGUUAUAUUUACUUUCUGUGUUUUCUUCACAGUGGUAUCUUCGUUCUACUGCUUCUUUCAUUCUUUCUCUCUCUCUCUCUGACUCACGGUGAAACAAAAUAUUAUUCUCAUUCAAAAAUUUAAAGUUGGAGGCAUGAUUUGGAAGAUGUUUAUGUUGAGAUCUAUGAAGAGGCUGAGAAUGGGACUCAUUCAUUAUAUUCUCGGCUGGAGUCAUCUUCUUAUUGGCAACAAAGAACUACUUUAAAGUUAAAUUGGAAAUCUAAUUUACAAAUGAAAAAUGAAAAUUCCAUUAAAGCUUAGAUUUAGAUAUAGUAUUUACGUUGCUUUAUGACGGCAAACAGUUGAACUUCUAUGAUUGAAUUGUUGGUGUUUGGUAAUAUUUUUGUUUUCAAAUCUCUCUUUUUGGUAAACCUUGAAACACUGAUAAAUGGAUCAAUAUGAUUUAUGUAUUUUCCCCUUUGAUUUUAUGAACUAGUAGAGACUUUUCAAUCCUUUGUUUUCCCUUCAAUUUUGCAAAGUGGAAAAGAGAGAGCGAUGAGUCAGAGAGAGAAAGAAUGAAACCAUUGUGGAGAAAUCAGAAACAUAGAGAGGGGUUGUCAAAACCUCUUCAACUUUUUUCCAUAUUUAUUUUAUUUAUGUAUUUUCUGCUUUGAUUUUAUGAACUAAUAGAGACUUCUCAAAUUUUUUUUUUUCCCUUCAAUUUUGCAAAGUGGAAGGAGAGAACUGUGAGUCAGAAAGAGAGAGAGAGAAUGAAAAAAAGUACGAAAAUACCAUUGUGGAGAAAUCAAAGACGGAGAGGGGUAGUCAAAAACUCUUCAAAUUCUUUCCAUAUUUAUUUUAUUUAUUUAUUUUGGGUGUAUAUAUAGAGAGAGAGAGUAAUGAUACUCUGUCAGAUGAAGUUGACCUACUCCUGGUCCGAAUACUAGGUAAUUACUUAAAUCGUUACAUUUACUAUGCGUGUGUGUAGAUAUAUAUAUAUAUAUAUAUAUAUAUAUUAUUUACUUAGAAUAUAUACACACACACUAAAUUCAAUGUCUUUAGUACUCUAAGGUUGCAUGAUAUUCAGUUAAGUAAUAGAGUAUAUAUAGACUUUGUAUCUUUGUAGAUUUUUUUAGUUUUUAUUUUUAAGAUCUAUACUCGAACCGAAGUGGAUUAAUUUUAAAUUUUUUCCUCUUUUUUGAGUCAACUACAAUAAGACUUUCUCAAACUAUUUAGAUUCAAUAUUCUACUUAUUCAUGCAAAAAUUUUAUUAGUAGAUGCAGUACAGACGAUUUUGAUGUCCAAUAAAAAUCAAGGAAAAGAAGUCAUCCAUCCGACUGUUGAGACGCGAAAGUUGGAAGAAGAAAAUUAACAAAAAUUGACAAACGAUGACAAUUUCUGUACUUCUGAGACUAAAACACAAUGUUAAAUUAAUGCUGAUAAAAUUUGUUGAGUUUCAUAAUCUCCUUCCGAUCCGAAGCUGUUCCAAAUUUUUUAUUUUUUUGGGCAACUCUACGUGUAGAAAAUCUUGCUUUGGGAUUUUGAAAAUUUUGAAACCCAGUUUUAGAUUGGGUUUCCCCAAUACAACAACCUAUAUUCGUAAUACAGUUUAAUUUGUCACAAUGUAUUUAUAGCUGUAUGUACAAGAAACUUAAUAGUAUCUGUAAUAAAUCCCAUACACAAUGAUUCGAUUCAGAACUAUUGACAUUUACUUCUCAUGUUGGCAAAACCAACCUCAAACCUAAAAUUAUAAUUUCUGGUCAUUCAUACUAAAAAAAAUUAGAAUUAAUUUUACUAACACUCCCUUAGAUUUGACCAAAAAUCCAUAUAAAUAUAUAUUUAAAAUAAUUAUUACUCAGAUCCCAACUUACUUUUCCGUCACUUUUACUGUUAAAAAUAUAAGAAAUAACAAUUUUACCCUAUUUUUUUAAAUUCAUUUUAAUCUAAAAUAUCAUAAAAAUAUAAAAGACAAAAUUGCCCCCAUUUAUUUAUCUCUCUAAAAUUCACAUCCACUCCCACUUCUUCCAUCUCCACCUUUUAUGCAAACCUUCCUUCCAAGGUUUAAGACCUUUAGCAAACCCACUAACCACCCACCUCUUCUCUUCUUUCAUCUCCACCUCUCGCUGCUAAUCCAAACUGCAUUUUAGAAAUCCUAUCCGAAUUUCGUCCCGCGGCACUGUAUGUGUAGAAAUUCAUCAAUUGUGAUAUAUUGAAGAAUAAAAACAAAACACGCAAAAUAAUAAAAGCAAUGCACAAUAGCUAAUUAGAGAAUUUUUUUUAUAUAUUUCAUUGUAAGCUCAUACCUCUAUUUAUAGAAGUAGGGGCUUGGUACUGCUAGACCACUAGCCUGUUGGUUAUUCUAGGUUUUUUCUUCAUAUAGAUUAUUCCAUGUGAGGCUUUUCUUCUAUACAAAGUUCUUUCUUCAUAUAGAUUGAUCCGAUCUGUAGCUUAGAUAAUGUUUAUCCGAGCAGUAUCUUUGACUCGGAACAUAUUAAGCUUAUUCUAUGGUGGGCUGACAAUGGCUCAUUUGGAGUAGAUCGAACUGUAAUUCAUUGAUGAUAUGGCAUGUUCUUAUUGGUACGAAGAUUUUUCCCUCCACAGUUUGCCCUCAAUUCCCUCCUAAUUUGAGCAACGGUCCAUAAUCAGAAGGGAAUUGAAUUUGCACAGUUACCAGACGUGUAAGAGGCGGUUUUGGAAGUGGCUCUUGACAUUCUGACCAAAAAAUUUCUCCAAAGCUCGUUCUUGCCUUCAUUGUGUCCGCAGCUUCGUCAUACUCUCAGGUGCUUAUCCCCAAAAUAAGCUAAUUCAGCCAAAUAAGAGCUUAAAAGAAGCUAACUCAAGCUGGAUGGAAGAAAGGAGCAAAGUGGAAGUAGAUUGAAGCACAGUAUGGAAUUCAGCAGGUUUGAUCGAUCUCAGAAUAUAUUCGAUCGAUCGAAAGUUCAUUAAUCUAAGCAGUUUAAGACGGAUCUGAGCUUUUGUCCUUAUCCACAAGAUUUCAUAAAAUUCGAUCGAUCUCAACAGCUAUUCGAUCAAUCGAAGUGCUCGAUCUUAUCUACAUGUACUACUCUAGCUGCCACUUUUGUUUUCUUCCCAAAAAUAUCUCAAAAUAUCUCAGAGAUUUGUCCUUAUUCAAAAAGGCACCGCCAUAGAUGAUCGAUCUCUGCAGAAUUCGAUGGAUCUCAGCCAUGUUCGAUCGAUCUCACCACAGUUCGAUCGAUCGAACCCUCUCAAAUCCAAAAAUAUAUAUUUACAGCUCAUUAAAAGUUGUCUCAUUGUGCAAUCAUUGGAGGAGCCCUUGUGUACGAGCCUAGACCAUUGGGUGUGACAUUUUAAGCUACCUAUAUAAGGAAUAUGAGUCACUUUUACAUAUAUGCUUAGAUAUGCUUUUGGGUAAAUAGUUUUUAGAGACAAUUCUUAGAGAGGAAGAAAAGAGAAAAGGAAACUAGAGACAUUCUUGAGAGGUUUUCCAUCUUUCUCAAGAAGAUCAUCAUUUAUACCAUGGAAAUAGCCCUUGAGGGUUGGAAGACACCAUCCAUAAGUGGCUAGACAUAUUCUUGGGGCUAGAGUUAGCCCUAAGCAUGCUUUCUUUAUCUUGAUUCAUGUAUUUUUGAGGGGUUUGUGUUGUAAUACAUGUUUUGACAUAUUUAUAUACAUAGGUCUUAUUUAUUUAA